AGUCAAUAGAUACCCCGGUAGUCCACGCCGUAAACGAUGAGUACUAGGUGUAGGAGGUAUCGACUCCUUCUGUGCCGCAGUUAAACACAAUAAGUACUCCGCCUGGGAAGUACGGUCGCAAGAUUAAAACUCAAGGGAAUUGACGGGGGCCCGCACAAGCAGCGGAGCAUGUGGUUUAAUUCGAAGCAACGCGAAGAACCUUACCUAGACUUGACAUCUCCUGAAUAGCGCAGAGAUGCGUGAAGCCCUUCGGGGCAGGAAGACAGGUGGUGCAUGGUUGUCGUCAGCUCGUGUCGUGAGAUGUUGGGUUAAAGUCCCGCAACGAGCGCAACCCCUAUUAUUAGUUGCUACCAUUAAGUUGAGCACUCUAAUGAGACUGCCCGGGUUAACCGGGAGGAAGGCGGGGAUGACGUCAAAUCAUCAUGCCCCUUAUGUCUAGGGCUACACACGUGCUACAAUGGUGAGAACAACGAGAUGCAAUACCGCGAGGUGGAGCAAAACUUGAAAACUCAUCUCAGUUCGGAUUGUAGG
rnacentral:rRNA from 1 species